rnacentral:rRNA from 1 species
AUUGAACGCUGGCGGCAUGCUUUACACAUGCAAGUCGAACGGUAGAGGGGGCAACCCCUUGAGAGUGGCGAACGGGUGAGUAAUGCAUCGGAACGUGCCCAGUCGUGGGGGAUAACGCAGCUAAAGCUGUGCUAAUACCGCAUACGAUCUCUGGAUGAAAGCGGGGGACCGAAAGGCCUCGCGCGAUUGGAGCGGCCGAUGUCAGAUUAGGUAGUUGGUGGGGUAAAGGCCUACCAAGCCGACGAUCUGUAGCUGGUCUGGGAGGACGACCAGCCACACUGGGACUGAGACACGGCCCAGACUCCUACGGGAGGCAGCAGUGGGGAAUUUUGGACAAUGGGCGCAAGCCUGAUCCAGCCAUGCCGCGUGCGGGAAGAAGGCCUUCGGGUUGUAAACCGCUUUUGUCAGGGAAGAAAUCCUUUGGGUUAAUACCUCGGGGGGAUGACGGUACCUGAAGAAUAAGCACCGGCUAACUACGUGCCAGCCGCCGCAGUAA